rnacentral:rRNA from 1 species
CGCAUCUGUGCAUGCAGCAUAUCAAUAAGCGGAGGAAAAGAAACUAACAAGGAUUCCCCUAGUAACGGCGAGUGAAGCGGGAAGAGCUCAAAUUUGAAAUCUUAAAGGGUUUCCCUUUACGAAUUGUAGUUUAAAGAAGUGUUUUCUGUUGAGGUUUUGGUAAAAGUUCUUUGGAAUAGGACAUCAUAGAGGGUGAGAAUCCCGUAUUUGACCUUUACUUUCAACUUUGUGAUACACUUUCAAAGAGUCGGAUUGUUUGGGAAUGCAGUCCAAAAUGGGUGGUAAAUUUCAUCUAAAGCUAAAUAUUGGCGAGAGACCGAUAGCGAACAAGUACCGUGAGGGAAAGAUGAAAAGAACUUUGAAAAGAGAGUUAAACAGUACGUGAAAUUGUCAAAAGGGAAGCGUUUGACACCAGUGUUGUUUUUCUGAAAAUCAAUUAAAGAACUGUUUAUGCUAAGUUGUUUAGACUUUAUCAGCUAAUCUGCUUAGUUUUGAGCUUUUCUUUAAUGCACUUUUCAGUUAACAAGUCAACAUCAAUUUCUUUUGCUGUAAAAAAGCUUGAGGAAGGUGGCUUGAGAUUCGUCUUAAGUGUUUAUAGCCUCUUGCCUAUGCAGUCGGAGAGAUUGAGGUCUGCAGCGUAGAUCCUUCGGGGCUAAAUGCAUUUGUGCUAAGUUAUAGCAUUUUAUAGACAACUUGUUGACUAUGAUUGUCUUGUAGCUUACUCGCUUAUGUUAUUUUACCUACGCUUAGGAUGUUGAGCGCAUGUCUCUCUCU